rnacentral:tRNA from 1 species
ACGAGAGUCGGCUAAUUGGUCGGCCGCAACGCUUUGGACGUUGUUAUCCUGGUUCGAAUCCAGGCUCUCGUUCCA